AGUGAACGCUGGCGGUAGGCCUAACACAUGCAAGUCGAACGGCAGCACAGUAAGAGCUUGCUCUUACGGGUGGCGAGUGGCGGACGGGUGAGGAAUACAUCGGAAUCUACUUUUUCGUGGGGGAUAACGUAGGGAAACUUACGCUAAUACCGCAUACGACCUACGGGUGAAAGCAGGGGAUCUUCGGACCUUGCGCGAUUGAAUGAGCCGAUGUCGGAUUAGCUAGUUGGCGGGGUAAAGGCCCACCAAGGCGACGAUCCGUAGCUGGUCUGAGAGGAUGAUCAGCCACACUGGAACUGAGACACGGUCCAGACUCCUACGGGAGGCAGCAGUGGGGAAUAUUGGACAAAGGGCGCAAGCCUGAUCCAGCCAUACCGCGUGGGUGAAGAAGGCCUUCGGGUUGUAAAGCCCUUUUGUUGGGAAAGAAAAGCAGCAGGUUAAUACCCCGCUGUUCUGACGGUACCCAAAGAAUAAGCACCGCCUAACUUCGUG
rnacentral:rRNA from 1 species